UACGUAGGGGGCUAGCGUUGUCCGGAAUCAUUGGGCGUAAAGCGCGUGUAGGCGGCCCGGUAAGUCCGCUGUGAAAGUCGGGGGCUCAACCCUCGAAAGCCGGUGGAUACUGUCGGGCUCGAGUGCGGAAGAGGCGAGUGGAAUUCCUGGUGUAGCGGUGAAAUGCGUAGAGCUCGGGAAGAACAUCGGUGGCGAAAGCGCUCUGCUGGACUGCAACUGACACUCAGGGACGAAAGCUAGGGGAGCGAAUGGG
rnacentral:rRNA from 1 species